CAUGGCAGCAUGGCAGCUUCAUGAUCAUCAGGGAGCCAGCCUCCUUCAAUCUUUUUGCUCUUCCAUCUUAAGCUCAUGAAUUCCACUCCCAAGAUUGCCUCGUGGUAACAAGAUGGCUGCUGGAACUCCAUUUAUCACAUCCAUGUUCCAGGUAGAAGGAGAAAGGAGAGAAGGACAGCUUUCCCAGAAGACUCAGUUGACUUCCACUAAUAUUUCAUUGGCCAUUUGUAAUUGCCAAGGAGACCAGGAAAUUUUUUUUUUUUUUUUAAAUCUGGGCACAUUGUCAAUCUGGGUAAAGUCUUGUUUCUGAUAGGAAGGAAGAAGGGAAGAACGGAUAGUGGGUACACAAGAGCAGACUCUGUCUUGCAAGAUUCAGCCUCUUUACGGAGAAGGAGAAGGAAAGGAAUUCACCAAGCUGUUGAAAGUGCCUCUAAGAGUGCUCAGCCUCUAUUUCCUAAUGAAGCUUCUGGUGAAAAAUGGAAUCUGACAGGAGCCGAAGUGCUGAAAGGAGGAAUCUUGACAUGCUUCUAAACAGACAGAAGGGCACACUUCUCUACACUCUUUGUAAUGAUUUUUGAAGGUGAACGCUUUCCAAGACGUACUGACAGACACGUGGCUGCAACCAUGAGAAGAGUCUUUGAGAAUUCUCCAGCUCUUCUUUUCCACACUCUAUGGUCUGAAAAGAACGUCUCCUUCCCAGUGUUGUCAGCUUGUUCCUUCAAGAAGAGCGCUCGGGGAGAAUUCUCUCGAGCCUGGGACCCCUGGCUGAGCUGAAAAGGUUGGAGGUAGCUUAGAACGAUGGGGACUCCAGGACUGAGACAGAAAUUGACUCCUGCACAUGUUUUCAUCAUGGAAUCUCCAGAAGAGGAUGUCAAGAUGGAGACCGUGACUCUACUCCAGGGUAGGACCUAGGAAUCGGUCAUUAAAUAAUAAUGUAAAUACUACUAAUAAUUUAAAUGAAAGGUCCCCAGGUGAUGCUGCUUCUUGGUCAAACAUCUGCUUAGCUUUCGGCCAGCCUCCCGGCUGCGCUUAACUCCCCUGCGAUAUUCCAAAACCCGCUCUCCCACAGCGGGAGAAAACCCCAAGCCCCGCAGCUGCCCGAUUUGCCUCCUUUUUUCCUUGUCCACUCGCUACAUUAGCCAGGAGGCAGAGGGCUUGGAAGGCACACUAAUACCUGCCCCACGUUCCAAGGAGGAAAUGAUUUCACACUGGCUCGGCCGCUGGGGGUGCUGGAGCCUGAGCGCUCAGCCUCUGGAUUCAGGGGGGCCUCCGGCCAGGAGGAUUUCAGGCUUUCCAAGUCAAUGCCGAAGCCUCAGACGCCGGGAAAGGUAUUGAUUUUUCUUGUGAUGAGAACUCAAGUGUAUCUGUUCAGUGUCUUUCAGAACCCAAGCCUUGCCUGAUUUUAUUUUUGUUUUGUUUUGUUUUUU